UGGGGAAUUUUGGACAAUGGGCGAAAGCCUGAUCCAGCAAUGCCGCGUGUGUGAAGAAGGCCUUCGGGUUGUAAAGCACUUUUGUCCGGAAAGAGAUCCUCUGGGUUAAUACCUCGGGGGGAUGACGGUACCGGAAGAAUAAGCACCGGCUAACUACGUGCCAGCAGCCGCGGUAAUACGUAGGGUGCAAGCGUUAAUCGGAAUUACUGGGCGUAAAGCGUGCGCAGGCGGUUUUGUAAGACGGAUGUGAAAUCCCCGGGCUUAACCUGGGAACUGCAUUCGUGACUGCAGGGCUAGAGUAUGGCAGAGGGGGUAGANUCCACGUGUAGCAGUGAAAUGCGUAGAGAUGUGGAGGAAUACCGAUGGCGAAGGCAGCCCCCUGGGCCAAUACUGACGCUCAUGCACGAAAAGCGUGGGGAGCAAACAGGAUUAGAUACCCUGGUAGUCCACGCCCUAAACGAUGUCAACUAGUUGUUGGGGAUUCAUUUCCUUAGUAACGUAGCUAACGCGUGAAGUUGACCGCCUGGGGAGUACGGUCGCAAAGAUUAAAAACUCAAAGGAAUUGACGGGGU
rnacentral:rRNA from 1 species